CCUUAUCUUUAGUUGCCAGCGGGUAAUGCCGGGGACUCUAAAGAGACUGCCGGUGUCAAACCGGAGGAAGGUGGGGAUGACGUCAAGUCCUCAUGGCCUUUAUGUCUAGGGCUGCACACGUCCUACAAUGGUACGGACAAACGGACGCAAUACCGCGAGGUGGAGCAAAUCCUAAAAACCGUACCUCAGUUCGGAUUGCAGGCUGCAACUCGCCUGCAUGAAGCCGGAAUCGCUAGUAAUCGUAGGUCAGCAUACUACGGUGAAUGUGUUCCUGAGCCUUGUACACACCGCCCGU
rnacentral:rRNA from 1 species